CUUUUGAAACAUGGCUAGAGGCAACUGUCAGUGGAAGUUAAAGAUGUGCCAAGAAAUGAAGGGAUGAGGUAGUCAUCACACUAAAAAUAAUAAAAGCAGUUAGAGUCAGGGAAGACUGAAAUGCCCAUCUGUGCCCGAUGCCAGCAACGGUCAGCGGUCAGGGGAAGAGAUGGAGAGCUGGUAGCUGGACUGGAAACUCAGGUACAGGAACCCAGAACCCGCUUGCCUCUGUUGGGUCACCGAGGAACCACACGUGUGCAGCCUCUGGGGAUCAGGACCAGGGUAAUGGAUUUGUGCCAUCACAGAGUCAGGCCGAAAACAAAGUCCUUGCCACCAAAUGGAGGAUUAGUACAGAUGGAGCGGCAGAACUAAACUGCUGACCUCGUGAGCUGCUGUCAUCAUUUGCCAGACUCUCCACCCAGCUCUGCCGACUGUGCAGGGAAGUCCCCUCUGGUGCCUGAAACCCUCCCAACCCAACAAACGACCCCUGAGGACACUUGCCCAUCCUCCUUUGUCCACAGGCUUCCCCUUCCGGCCUCUCUCUCCACCUGUCCGGCUCCUAACCACCUGGAAAACCACAAGUGUGCACUUUCCAGCUUGAAUGUAUGGGCAGUUCAUUUCUAAAGCCCCUCAUACUUUUCUGCAAAACCUUUAAAAAGAGCAGACGGAUAGACGAGGCCAAAAUGAGCACACAGAUCUUACCUGGCCCGUCAAAGAUGCUCCAAUCUGUGAAAACAGGACUUUAUAAAUGUCACUCUGUUAAUACCAGGUCAAAUGUUCCUAAUCACUAGAAAAUAAAGUAAGAUUUCUGUCAAGUUAAAUGCCAUUGUUCUAAUCAUUAGAUCCUGGCAUCUGAAAAUAAGAGAGAAUGUGUCUUCUCUGCUGUGAAUGACAAGCCAUGAGCCAUCCCUACUGUUAACUGACAGCUGUUUAAUAAGCCAUAUGAUUGAAUAAAGCUUGUCUUUCAGCCUAACUAGUGGCUCAUAUCAGUCCCUAAACACCUGCUGAAAGUGAAAGUCACUCAGUCAUGUCCAACUCUUUGCAACCCCAUGGGCUAUAAAGUCCAUGGAAUUCUCCAGGCCAGAAUACUGGAGUGGGUAGCCUAUCCCUUCUCCAGCAGAUCUUCCCACCCUAGGAAUCGAACCAGGGUCUCCUGCAUUGCAGGCGGAUUCUUUACCAACUGAGCUAUCAGGAAAGCAUAACGUCAUAUCCUGUUACCGCCACAGUCACGAAAACCUUAAACAAGGUUGUAAAACGGACAUUUCUUUUUUUUUUUUUUUUUCUCCCAGUAAUUGAAUUUGGAAUGUUUCAGGUUACUGAGACAAUCAAGCAAAGAAGGGUUAGAUAUCAUUUCUAGGUGUCACACCAAAUGCUUUGGGAAUGCCUCUUUUUUGUUGGCUUCAUAUGGUUUGGGGCUUUGUUUUCCAUUCCUAUAACUGAUGCUGAAGUAGUUAAAUGCAGUGCUCCUUGUCUUCCAAGAGUUUAUCACCCAAAGAAGGCAGUGGGAUCAACCACCAUGAAACAACUAGAGCAGGCGGGACAGUCAGGAACUGCAUGAUGGUGGCUUUCUGAAUGAAGAACAUCCCUGAGAGCUGGCACAAUCAGGGAGAACUUCCUGGGGAGAUGUUCCUGCUGGGCAGAACCCUCCCAUGAUAAGAGAAGACAGACCGUGAGGUGGCCCUGGACCAUGGCAGGUGAGCACCAAGGUCAGUCCCUGGAGGACCUCAAGAGGCAGUGGUGGGGGACCUCGUGCCUUGCGAUACAUGUGGUGAUGGAAGAUGAAUGAGCAAAGAGACAGAUGAAAGUAACCUUUGAGGAAGGUUAAUCUGGCUGUAGUGCACAAAAUGUGGGGAGAAAUGAGGAGAAUUGUCUGGCCAUUCGUCUGUAAGGCUGUCGCACUGAUUCUGGGGUGACGGUCACAACCUCUCCUAAAAAGACACACCUAGAAAAAAUUGAGUGGAAAUAACAGGACUUGGUGAUCUGAGGAAUAGUGAAGGUAUCUUUGGGGCUUGGAAUCUGUGGUUCUCCCUGUUUUCCAGAAAAACCAAUGACUUUGAGUCAGCUUUGGG
ensembl:lincRNA